rnacentral:rRNA from 1 species
AGUGAACGCUGGCGGUAGGCCUAACACAUGCAAGUCGAACGGCAGCACAGUAAGAGCUUGCUCUUACGGGUGGCGAGUGGCGGACGGGUGAGGAAUACAUCGGAAUCUACUUUUUCGUGGGGGAUAACGUAGGGAAACUUAUGCUAAUACCGCAUACGACCUACGGGUGAAAGCAGGGGAUCUUCGGACCUUGCGCGAUUGAAUGAGCCGAUGUCGGAUUAGCUAGUUGGCGGGGUAAAGGCACACCAAGGCGACGAUCCGUAGCUGGUCUGAGAGGAUGAUCAGCCACACUGGAACUGAGACACGGUCCAGACUCCUACGGGAGGCAGCAGUGGGGAAUAUUGGACAAUGGGCGCAAGCCUGAUCCAGCCAUGCCGCGUGGGUGAAGAAGGCCUUCGGGUUGUAAAGCCCUUUUGUUGGGAAAGAAAAGCAGCAGGUUAAUACCCCGCUGUUCUGACGGUACCCAAAGAAUAAGCACCGGCUAACUUCGUG